AAAAUAGGUAAUGUGAAGCCACUAAUUGGAAGCGGUUAUUGGAAUCCGCUUCCAAUUCCAUAUAAAAACUCGGGGAAAAAAAAAACAAGAGGAGAAUUGGAAGCGUUUUGAGUAAUUAGAAGCGGUUCAAACCGCUUCCCUAUAUUAAAAAAAAACCGGGAUUUAAACUCCCUCAUUUCCCCUCCUUCAUUUUUCACAAUUGCGCUCCCUGACUACCUUCUUUGCUUCCUCUUUCACUCUCACACCGUCACUCCACCACAACCACCAUUGCUGUUAGCUUCACUUAACCCCACCACAACAACUACACCAUUGCCUUAGCUUCACUUAGGUGUUGUCAGAGGAUUGAGAUUAAAGGGUGAGGUACUCCUUAAUACGAAUCAUCGAGGCUCAACUGAAAUGAGUCAAAAAGUUUGUAAUUUUUCUACUUACACAGCCAAAAAGAGGGAAUUCUUUUAGGCUAGAAACAAUCAAGGAGCUGAUUCGAGCGUUUGAUGAUGCAAGGGAUGAUAGUUCAAUUAGUGUUAUCAUUCUAACUGGCAAGGGGUUGCUGAUAUGGUUAACACAGGGGGUCGUCAAGGUGGUUCCAUCACAGCAGCUUUGUUUUUGAAGCAGAAAAUCGAUGGUUGUUUCGAGUUAUUCCGUCAACAGCAAGACACACAAAUGACGGUGAACAACACAACCCAAGCUCAGUUAUUUGAGGAACUCCGCAACGUCAUAACCCAGAGGAACCACGACCAAGAACAAGGGCCACUGGGCUAGCUGUGCAGCUGCCUGGGCUGCAGUGCACCUGUGCAGCCUGCCUGGGCUGCUUUGCCUGGGCUGGCUGUGUAGCUGCCUGGGCUGCUAUGCAGGCUACCUGGGCUGUUGUGCUGUUGUGCUGCUGUGCAUCCUGCCUGGGCUGGAUGUGCAGCCUUCCUAGGCUGGCUGUGCAACCUGCUUGGGCUGUUGUGCUGCUGUGCAGCCUGCCUGAGCUUCCUCGUUUUUUUUUUUUUUUUUUUUUUUUUUUUUUUUUUUGUCCUUGAAUAACAUGGACGUUUGCCAUUCUUACAGAGUGUGUUUAAUAUUUUGGUGUAAUCAAAUAUUAUUGUUCAUGAAAUAUAUUAAUGAUGUUA